rnacentral:SRP_RNA from 1 species
UUGCGGACUAGUCCGGGUAAUUCGGCGUUACCUAUAACCCGAAACCGCCGAUAUGCGGGGGACGAAGCCAAUGGAAGACAUUGCAAACGCUAUUUAAGUCCGGAUUCUCAACAAUGAAUCCCCGUCCUGCAGGGAUGACGUUGGUGGCGGAGUCUGCUGGAGGGCAGGCUUACCAUCUUUGUUGCGGGAAACGGUUCAGGCCCGGAAGGGAGCAGACAUUACCGCAGACGUUUCAUCGCUUGGAGGGUUGCGGAGAUGAGGCGAGUUUCCGAUCAGCUUGGUGGCAGGCGGGUGGCAACCAUUGGCGUGCCCGCAA